GAUGAACGCUGGCGGCGUGCCUAAUACAUGCAAGUCGAGCGAACAGACGAGGAGCUUGCUCCUCUGACGUUAGCGGCGGACGGGUGAGUAACACGUGGAUAACCUACCUAUAAGACUGGGAUAACUUCGGGAAACCGGAGCUAAUACCGGAUAAUAUAUUGAACCGCAUGGUUCAAUAGUGAAAGACGGUUUUGCUGUCACUUAUAGAUGGAUCCGCGCCGCAUUAGCUAGUUGGUAAGGUAACGGCUUACCAAGGCAACGAUGCGUAGCCGACCUGAGAGGGUGAUCGGCCAAACUGGAACUGAGACACGGUCCAGACUCCUAAGGGAGGCAGCAGUAGGGAAUCUUCCGCAAUGGGCGAAAGCCUGACGGAGCAAAGCCGCGUGAGUGAUGAAGGUCUUCGGAUCGUAAAACUCUGUUAUUAGGGAAGAACAAAUGUGUAAGUAACUAUGCACGUCUUGACGGUAACUAAUCAGAAAGCCACGGCUAACUACGUG
rnacentral:rRNA from 1 species